GAGAUCAAAAGGGGCUUCUGUGUUUUCAGGGCAAAAGAUACAAGGCUGUUUUCUGUCAUAAUAAAUGCAUUCCAGCCUCACCAAGAGAAAGACCAUGAGGAUAUAUUCCACAGACUGAAGGAGAAAGCUGUGCUGUUGCAGAACCAGGAUGAGGAUGAAGAAGGUGCCAGUGUCCAUCCUCCUGAAACAACCAGACUGAGCUGAAACUCUUGUGAAUUAGAGAUGAACCCAAGCGCAGGAUGCUUGACACAGUUUAUUAAAGGACAAAACCAUGGAAAACAAAACCAACGAGGAGGCAAAACAUGGACAGGAAAAGAAGUGACUAAAGCUGCUCGACUGGCCUGCCGUCCCCUGAGGCAAAAUCAACCUUGUUGCCAACAUUAGUGCGAGGGGAUUUUGCAAAGAUGUGGACUGCACUGUAAAAAGAAAAGGUGCCUAGAGGAACCUUUUGGGGUUCUUCACUUUGCCACGCCGGCGGAACCGUCUGUAGAUCCUCUAGGA